rnacentral:rRNA from 1 species
CCUACGCGAGGCAGCAGUGAGGAAUAUUGGUCAAUGGGCGCGAGCCUGAACCAGCCAAGUAGCGUGAGGGAUGAAUGCCCUACGGAUUGUAAACUUCUUUUAUAAGGGAAUAAAGUGAGGCACGUGUCCCUUUUUGUAUGUACUUUAUGAAUAAGGAUCGGCUAACUCCGUGCCAGCAGCCGCGGUAAUACGUAGGAUCCGAGCGUUAUCCGGAUUUAUUGGGUUUAAAGGGAGCGUAGAUGGGUUGUUAAGUCAGCUGUGAAAGUUUGUGGCUCAACCGUAAAAUUGCAAUUGAUACUGGCGGGCUUGAGUACAGUUGAGGUAGGCGGAAUGCGUGGUGUAGCGGUGAAAUGCUUAGAUAUCACGAAGAACUCCGAUUGCGAAGGCAGCUUACCAAGC